rnacentral:rRNA from 1 species
GACGAACGCUGGCGGCGCGCCUAACACAUGCAAGUCGAACGAGCGAGAGAGAGCUUGCUUUCUCGAGCGAGUGGCGAACGGGUGAGUAACGCGUGAGGAACCUGCCUCAAAGAGGGGGACAACAGUUGGAAACGACUGCUAAUACCGCAUAAGCCCACGGGUCGGCAUCGACCAGAGGGAAAAGGAGCAAUCCGCUUUGGGAUGGCCUCGCGUCCGAUUAGCUAGUUGGUGAGGUAACGGCCCACCAAGGCAACGAGCGGUAGCCGGACUGAGAGGUUGCACGGCCACGUUGGGACUGAGGCCCGGCCCAGACUCCUACGGGAGGCAGCGGUAGGGAGUAUUGCGCACUGAGGGCAGCCCUGGUGCAGCGACGCCGCGUGGAGGAAGAAGGUCUUCGGAUUGUGAACUCCUGUUGUUGGGGAAGAUAAUGACGGUACCCAACAAGGAAGUGACGGCUAACUACGUG